rnacentral:rRNA from 1 species
UGCGUGGAAGGGCCAUCGCUCAACGGAUAAAAGCUACCCUGGGGAUAACAGGCUUAUCUCCCCCAAGCGUCCACAUCGACGGGGAGGUUUGGCACCUCGAUGUCGGCUCAUCACAUCCUGGGGCUGUCGUAGGUCCCAAGGGUUGGGCUGUUCGCCCAUUAAAGUGGUACGCGGGCUGGGUUCAGAACGUCGUGAGACAGUUCGGUCCCUAGCCGUCGCA